ACUACUGGCAGGAUCAACCAGGUAGCACGUCCUCAUCGACGAGCCGACAUGGAGACUGGCACACGCCAGCCAGCUAGUGGCAUGAAGUGGCAAUCACCGAGCCGACUGUCGUACAUUGAGAGAGCUUUCGUUAGGGACGCGACCGCAACGGGUCACGAGCCUUUAUCAUUUGCAACAUCCGAAACCAAUAGUGCGAGCGAGGUGGCCUUGGAAGCACCGGGCACGUAGGGCACCAGCACCACGAGGCAACGCCGCACGAACUAUUAGGCCGCAGCGGAACUCCCUUGGGGGUCCACAGCGAGGCAACCGUGUAUGAAGCACAACUUCCCGUAGUUUGGGUACCAGCAUGCAAGCACUCGUCGAUGGAGCGGAAUGGUUAGAACCGCAAGAAUGAUAGGAUAUCGGCGCCAGUAGUCGGCCGCACAUCGGCGGGGGUCCUGCUGGCAGACACGAGUCCAAGACAACUCAUGCGCUCGCGUAGCCAACUG
rnacentral:misc_RNA from 1 species